GCCUCGGUAGCCUAAUGGUUAAGGCGUUGGCUUCCUAAGCCAAAGAUUGCGGGUUCAAGUCCCGUCCGAGGUA
rnacentral:tRNA from 1 species